AGGAAGGAAGGAAGGAAGGAAGGAAGGAAGGAAAAGAUUUUUGAACAAGAACCUUGGAGAGCUCCACACGGUGGUGAAAACCAGUCAGAGAGCAAUGGGAAUCUUUCUUUUGGGAUCAUGGAGGAGGAAAACUAGCUUUCCGAGAUCCUGGAGGGGAAACGAGUGUUGGGACCUGACUGCCUGCAGGAGGUAAGUUGUGUCUGUAGCAGUAGCCGCCAUAUCUGCACAGGCUUCCCCACUACAGCAACGUGAGCAUGAGGGUACCGUGUGCCAGGACCUGUGCGUGGGAAGCUUGCAGUCUGCCGCAUCCAGUCCUGAGAGAUCUUGAUGGCGUCCAACUGGCGAUAAGCACUGCCAGCUCGCCCCCAAGCCAUUCCCUCUGGUUGCUAGGCGAACAGCACAAAGGAAAACAGAGGGGGAGCCAAACAGCACAGAGACUGUUCUCACCAGGUGGGUAGACGAACAUGGCCAAAGAGAAGGUAAGUCUGCAUAGACCCAGAAUCCACACUGCUGGCUGAUCGGGUGAAAUCUGCAGACCCAGAGUCCACACUGCUGGCUGCUCGAGUGACAUCCGUAGACCCAGAGUCCACACUGCUGGCUGCUCAGGUGAAAUCCGCAGACCUAGAGUCCACACUGCUGGCUGCUCGGGUGAGAUCCACAGACCCAGAGUCCACACUGCUGGCUGCUUGGGUGAGAUCCACAGACCCAGAGUCCACACUGCUGGCUGCUCGGAUAAACCCACAAGCCUUGGAAAACUUGAAUCAUAUGGGAGAUAAUGCAGAUAUAAAAAAUGCCAACCAAUUAAAAGUGUUCAUGGUCCAUGGAGGUCCUGCCACCCACUUGUCCCACCCCUGAGGCAAGGACUGUCCUCAGGAUGAGUGCGCAGAUGCUGUGGGCCAGGGCAGCCAAAACUGCCAGUCAUGCUGGCCGCUCAACUUGGGAGUGGAGAAGAGUCUCCCACACGGUCCUGGUUUUAAAGCCACAAGUACGACUGCGCUGAGUCCUGUAUCCUAGCAAACCAUUGAGCCUGGGGUCCUCGUGGAGAUGCCAGACACUGUCCUCAGACAUAGCUUUUGUUACUCCCUCUGAAUCCUCAGAUACCUUCUGCCACCGGCCCUUCUGGAGCAGCAGAACAGGAGGAUGUCAGUCAAAGCCUCAGACAUAAACAACCGAGGUUGGGGAGCUAGUCUGGGUUUAUGACAUCAGCACCACACAUAUGUCACUGGGAGAAAAGAAGGCGCCAAGUACAACACAUGCGGUAGCUUUUUCAUCCUUGGACUUGGAUGCGCCCUUCCAUCUCACUGCCUUGCUGGUCAUCCCUGGUAAUUGCCCACUAACUGUGUGUUCUGGAGUGACCCAGCCAUUAUGGCUCAGUGUUCUCACCUUAAAUGCUGGAUUGGCGACAACAUACAUAUGGAUGCUGUCCAGAACAACUUAGUUCAUGGAAGUCAAAGAGAGAAAGGAGCCCCAGGAACUCAGCAGAGAGUUGGUGAGGGUGCGACCCGUGCGGAAAAGAUGGCAGAGGUCAAGGACAUUGCUCCAAGGGUAAGAGUUGGUCAUUGGCAGAGGGCAAGGACAUUGCUCCAAGGGUAAGAGUUGGUCAUUGAGUUCAGUGUGGCUUUUCACCACACCUCUCUCAGGUACCUUGUGCUGUGAUCGGUGCUAGGAACUUAGAGAUAAAACAUGACUUGUGCCCGCAAUCUGAGGAAGAAGGCACAGACAGCACACACUCAGCUGCUGUGCCGCAGGCUGCUUGGCAAGAUCUUCGGUGUUGGCACCACAAAUGCUGUCGAAAAACCAAGACGGGCAUGACAGAUGGGUGACCCGUGAGAGACACAGAGGAAAGGAAGGGCACCGGCGCUUUGUGGAACUAAGGUUGUAGUUGGCACACUGAGUCAUGGUUUCGCUUUGUGGAACUAAGGUUGUAGUUGGCGCACUGAGUCAUGGGUUUCACUUUGUGGAACUAAGGUUGUAGUUGGCGCACUGAGUCAUGGUUUCCCUGUGAUGUUUUCAUACCUGUACAUCAUCACACUGUGUUACCUGACACCUCCUUCCCUCCCUCAUCCUUCUGAGGCCAUCCAGAUUGUUGCCUUUAAAAAGGGAUACAGCACUCCUUGAACUUAGUCAUUCCGAGAUCAGGUACUUAUGUGAAGACUGAAUUGAACUUGCGCUCUGAUUUCCCGUCUAUCCUCCUGAUGGGUGAUGUGAUUGCUCCUGACACAUGUACCUCAGAUGCAAAGUCCCAUACCUGGGAGGCCAUUAUCAGACAGACCAUGAACUUUCAGAACUGGGAGCUACAUAAACCUCACCUGUUUAUAAAGUUAUCCUGCUUCUGGUUUUUCAAAGUAGUGUUUGGAAAAAAGGAUGGAUGUAAUUUGCAUGUGGAGCCAGGCAAGUUCAUUCUAAAAUUAAUGUAGGCCUAUAAAGACACAAGAAUAGCCAAACGCCUCUUCAAGAAGGUGGGACGACUUUUCAUGCGAGUUAUAAUGACUUACUAUAAAGCUAUGGAAAUCAAGGAAGGGGAACAGACACAAUCCAGAAACAGAAUCCAGGCCUUCACAUUCACAUGCAUGAUUCGUGACACAGGGGCCUUGAUGACCAACUUUUUAGAGAUGGUGGAAGUGGAAAAGAAUCACACCUUAAACGAAACUUAAUUCCAGGUAGAGAACACCUAAACACGAAAGGCAAGACGACAAAACUCUAGCACAGGGGCAGGGUAAGACUCGGAGAGCAAAGCAAAAGAAGCAUCAGCCAUAAAAACAUGGUUGUUUCAACUCGGGAUGUUGUUCUCACUAGUGCAAUAAGCAGACUAAUGUCAAAGGCCAAAGUUCUGGAGCCACCUCCCACUCAUUCUGUGAUCUCCGUGGAUUCAGCUUCUCUGUGUCUCAGUAGGAAAGGCUUCUUUCAUGACACGCUGCGUUGAUGAGGAAAGGUAGUUUGUUUUGUCAAUGGUCUCAGCACCUGCAUUCAUGAACACUUCCACUUUUGAGGAGCCUGAACAUUUUGCUUUGCAUCGCAGUGUCAAGAGUCACAUUUGGGGGCUGGAGAGAUGGCUCAGAGGUUAAGAGCAUUGGCUGCUCUUCCAGAUGUCCUGAGUUCAAUUGCCAGCAACCACAUGGUGGCUCACAACCAUCUGUAAUGGGAUUUGGUGCCCUCUUCCUGCAUGUUGUCUCUCUAUGUAAGUAGAGCACCAUAUUCAUAAAAUAAAUAAACCUUAAAAAGGAGUCACACUUGUUCAUCAGGUGUUCGACAAACCAUCCCUUCUUCUUCCUCUACCUGUUCCAUCUACACAGCUUGAGAAACGGAUUGCUCCAGUUAGGAGAAGGUGGAGGCCUUGUCCAGCCCUCCCAGAUUCCUCCUGCAUUGCUGUCCCUCUUCUGGAGAGACUCACAGCCCACCCAGACUCAACCCCGAGGUGCACCUUUAACAGACAACUUUAGUUAAUGCGGUUGCGCAGACCAGAGGGGAUGACGCAAAGAAGAGCUCAGGUGGACGCUCAAGUUUGUCAGAGACGACAGAGAUCCACAAACAACCUCCACACAAGCCCGGGAUGUGGGGCUGGGAGGCGAACUUUCUCCACAGUGAAACUGAGAAAGAAAUGCUUUGUGACAUACUUUGCUAAGACUUCUCCAUCUGCCAAAUCUAAUCAGAGUAAUGACAGUCUUCCUGGGGUCUGGUAAUGACCUCCAAACUACAGUGGUUUGCCUUCCUAUUCUGCAACUCCUUGCAAAAUUGCAAAUUAGCUCAGAUUGUUUACAUGGCUUGAGGAUAUUGGGGUUAACUCUGACUAAUACUCACAUAAGUCAUGAUACCCGAGGACCUUGAAUAUGUAGUAAAAUUCACUAGGUUGAGAAAUACGAAUGGCUUUCUAAGGUUAAAAACAGCAAACUGGUUUUCAGUAGAAAUUCAAUUCCAUACCUGUUGUUCAAGCAAAUCCCAUAUUUAAAAAUCUCUACAAGAUCUAAUUGGUCACCUUUGUCUAUAGAAAUGACUGAGGCCUUAAGAUGCAAAAGACAAAUGCAGCAUGUGUGCAGGUAUUUUUUAUGAUGUAAUCCAGCAUGCACAUUUGUAGCACAGAGAUAAAUUUGCCUCAGUCCAAAAUAGAUUUUGCCAUCUGGAUGUUAAGAGUCUGGAAGUCAUGAGAAGUAGGUUAGCUAAAGAAACUGAGGUCUUAUCCAGAACCUUGGAACUAGGAGAGCUUUGUACAAAAUAACUUUGGUGCUGGCAUGUGUAGGGGAGAUUGGCUUUGUCCUCAGUCUUUCCAGGAGAUGAGCUAGGAUCUCAAGGAAGAGGUUUCUAACACGGUGCAAUACUGGGAAUGGAUGGAUAGUAUCUUGAGAAAUGGAGAAGAGGGCAGUGAUAGAGGCUCUUAUAGUUAGGGAACCCAGAAGGUCAGGUGACAAGAGAAUCAUGCAGGGAUGUAUUAAGAGCAAUGUUACAGACAUGAACUGUUUCCACAUGUUACACGGUCUUUGGGACACUCAAAUCCCCCUUGGCAGGUGGUGCUUGAAUAGAUUAAUGUGCAAUGUGGGUACAAAACAUGUGUUCAGGAAAUGCCAAUAAUCAUCGUGGAUAUUAUUGGUCUUACUACUUUUCUCACAAGCGGUUGGGACGUGCAUGGACACAGGUUGGAGAUUUGAAGAUCAAGAGCCCUAGAAAUGAAGAGUCUAGGGAGUUGGAAUGAAUAUGAAUAUGCAUGGUCUGAGCAUUUUCAAACAUUAAAUGUUUACAGUCAUUCUAGCCAGCAUGUGAUAACGAAGGGAACAGUAAGUAUCAUAUAGAUGAGGACAAUCCGGAACAUGAUACCUGUGGCUUGUUUGCUCUUUGCUGUGGUCCCGGGUGCUUUUCACAGACACGGGUGUCCGUUGACCUCCUGUGAUCACUUCUCCUACCUGAAAUAAAAAUAUGACACGUGUA